rfam:Picea glauca, whole genome shotgun sequence.
AUGUAAUGUAAUACCUACAACGUAAUGCAUCGAAUCCCAUUAGGACUUUGUAGUUAAAUGUGCUUGGGCUAGAGUAGUUCUGGGAUGGGUGACCUCCCGAGAAGUCCUAGUGUUUUACAUG